rnacentral:rRNA from 1 species
CCUACGGGAGGCAGCAGUGAGGAAUAUUGGUCAAUGGCCGCAAGCCUGAACCAGCCAAGUAGCGUGAAGGAUGACGGCCCUAUGGUUUGUAAACUUCUUUUAUAGAGGAAUAAAGUUAUGCACGUGUGCCUUUUUGUAUGUACUUUAUGAAUAAGCAUCGGCUAACUCCGUGCCAGCAGCCGCGGUAAUACGGAGGAUACGAGCGUUAUCCGGAUUUAUUGGGUUUAAAGGGAGCGUAGGUGGUUUUUUAAGUCAGUUGUGAAAGUUUGUGGCUCAACCAUAAAAUUGCCAUUGAUACUGGAAGACUUGAGUGUAUUUGAGGUAGGCGGAAUGCGUGGUGUAGCGGUGAAAUGCUUAGAUAUCACGAAGAACUCCGAUUGCGAAGGCAGCUUACUAAAC